UUCUCCAGGUGUCAGUAGGUCUACUCUAGAACUUUCUCCAGCUGUCAGUAGGUCUAUUCUAGAACUUUCUCCAGGUGUCAGUAGGUCUACUCUAGAACUUUCUCCAGCUGUCAGUAGGUCUAUUCUAGAACUUUCUCCAGCUGUCAGUAGGUCUACUCUAGAACUUUCUCCAGCUGUCGGUAGGUCUACUCUAGAACUUUCUCCAGCUGUCGGUAGGUCUGCUCUAGAACUUUCUCCAGCUGUCGGUAGGUCUACUCUAGAACUUUCUCCAGCUGUCGGUAGGUCUGCUCUAGAACUUUCUCCAGCUGUCGGUAGGUCUACUCUAGAACUUUCUCCGGCUGUCAGUAGGUCUACUCUAGAACUUUCUCCAGUUGUCGGUAGGUCUACUCUAGAACUUUCUCCGGCUGUCGGUAGGUCUACUCUAGAACUUUCUCCAGUUGUCGGUAGGUCUACUCUAGAACUUUCUCCAGCUGUCAGUAGGUCUACUCUAGAACUUUCUC